UACGUAGGGCGCAAGCGUUGUCCGGAAUUAUUGGGCGUAAAGAGCUCGUAGGCGGUUUGUCGCGUCUGCUGUGAAAGCCCGGGGCUCAACCCCCGGGUCUGCAGUGGGUACGGGCAGACUAGAGUGCAGUAGGGGGAGACUGGAAUUCCUGGUGUAGCGGUGAAAUGCGCAGAUAUCAGGAGGAACACCGAUGGCGAAGGCAGGUCUCUGGGCUGUAACUGACGUGAGGAGCGAAAGCAUGGGGGAGCGAACAGG
rnacentral:rRNA from 1 species